GGGGACAGUGGCGGAAGGGUCAGUAAUGGGAUCGAAUGUACCCCGAGGUGGAGGAUAGCGUCGGGAAACUGACGGUAAUACUCCAUGUCCUCUACGGAGAAAAGAUUUAUCGCCUUGGGAGCAGCGAUCCUCCUAUCAGGUAGUUGGCGGGGUAAAAGCCCACCAAGCCGAAGACGGGUAGCGGGUGUGAGAGCACGGCCCGCGACAUCGAGACUGAGACACUGCUCGGACUCCUACGGGAGGCUGCAGUAACGAAUAUUCCGCAAUGCGCGAAAGCGUGACGGAGCAAUGCCGCGUGCAGGAUGAAGCGGUUUUGCCGUGUAAACUGCUGUCAGGGAUAAGAAAUACUGAUCUAUCCCAGAGGAAGGGGCGACUAACUCUGUGCCAGCAGUCGCGGUAAUACAGAGGCCCCGAGCGUUAAUCGGAAUCACUGGGCUUAAAGGGUGCGUAGGCGGGUCAGUAAGCGCUUUGUGAAAUCCCACGGCUCAACCGUGGAACCGCAGGGCGAACUGCUGAUCUUGAGGAAGCUAGAGGCUGGUAGAACGAUAGGUGGAGCGGUGGAAUGCGUAGAGAUCUAUCGGAAUGCCGAAAGUGAAGACAGCCAGCUGGGGCUUUCCUGACGCUAAAGCACGAAAGCGUGGGGAGCAAACCGGAUUAGAUACCCGGGUAGUCCACGCCCUAAACGAUGUGCACUAGACUGGAGCGGCUCUGACGUCGUUCUGGUCGUAGAGAAAUUGUUAAGUGCACCGCCGGGUAGUACGGUCGCAAGGCUAAAACUCAAAGGAAUUGAC
rnacentral:rRNA from 1 species